UUUGUUUUUGUCACGACCUCAAAUACCCGGUCGUGAUGGCGCCUAUCACAUUACUAGGCAAGCCAAUCCAAACCAUCUACCACAAUAAAUUUCUUUUAUAAAACCAUUUUCUAACACUGAUUUAAAUCUCAAAUUCUCAAAAGAAAUGUAUAAAACAGCUAAAAUGUGCGGAAAUCAAUAAAAUAUUAAACCAACACAGCCUAAACAUUUGGUGUCACGAGGCUAGAGCCUCUAAAUAUAAAAGUUCGACCGUUUAAUACAUAACAAAUCUAAAAUGCGGGGAAAACAAGGAUAGGAAGGAAGAAAGCAGGGUUGCGGACGCCAUGCAGCAACCUUGCAGUCUCCGGAAAACUCUGAUAAUGCUGAGUACCCUCACUCUGCCGCUCGGUCACCUGGAUCUGCACACAAGGUGCAGAGAGUAACAUAAGUACGCCAACUCAGUAUGUAACUAAAGUAAAUAAGGUCUAAAAGCAGUGACGAGCAGUUAAAUAUCAUAUAGAAGAGUAAAUGAUAGAAUAUCAAGUCAAACUCAACAGUUUUAAACCAGUUUCUUCAUAAAACUUCCGUUUCGAUUGAAAUAUUUUGAAUCAUUUACUUAGCAGUUUUCAAUAGAGGCUCAUUUUAAAAGAAGAGUGAAAUCGGCAAAAACUAUCAUAAAUGGGCCCCUCGGGCAAGGUAUCACUCAUAAAUAUAGCCUCUCGUGCACUCGUGACUCAGCUCUCAUCUCAGGCUCAAAUACACAUUAUAAUAGUGAUAAUCAUAAUAACCGCUGUGACGUGCAGCCCGAUCAAUAGUUUAUAGUCGACUACGCUCACUGGGGGUGUACAAACUCCGGAGGGGCUCCUACAACCCAAGCGUCAUAUCGCUGCGGCGCGCAGCCCGAUCUAUAUAAGUAUUGCUGUGGUGUGCAGCCCGAUCCAUAAUAUAUACAUAUAAUAUUAUUGCGGGGUGCUUCCCAAUCCAUAAUAUUUAUAAUCAUCACCAUUAGGUCCUCAGCCUCUCUCAGGUAUUAACCUCACAGCCACUCGGGCAUAACAGUAGAAAUCAGGGAACUCAAUCUGAACAGUUCUCACAUUUUAAAAAGUAGAGUGAUAAAAUCAGUUUUAAAUAAUAAAUAGGUGAAACAUGACUGAGGAUAUGCUUUCAAACAAAUAGAGUGCGGAAAAAUAGUAAAUAUGCCCCUAAGGGUCUCAACAGGUCGUCACAAGGCCCCAAACAUGGCAUACAACCCAUAAUACAGUAUAAAUUUCUAAAAUACGGGAUAUCAUAAGAUUUCAAAUCAAGUACGUGACUUAAUAUGGCUACGGGGCGGACUAAGUCACAAUCCCUACCGGUGCACGCUCACACGCUCGUCACCUAGCAUGUGCGUCACCUCAUUUAUCAAAACGAUACGAAAUACCGGGGUUUUGUACCCUCAAUUCCAUAUUUACAAUGGUUACUUACCUCAAACCGGGUGAAUUACUACUCUGCAAUGCCUUUGCCUCUCGCCUCGGCCUCAACUCGCAUUGAAUCUACCCAAAAUCAGAAUCAUAACAUUAGAAUAUGCCAAAGGGACGAAGCCCAUGCGAAAUUAAUCAAAUUAUACCAAAAAUCUCGAAAUUGGUCUAACCCGACCACCGGGCCCAUGUCUCAAAAUUCGAUAAGUCACAUCAAUGGAAUCCUUAUCCUCCCACGAGGUCAUACAUACCAAGAGUACCAAAAUCCGACCACAAAUGGCCCCUCAAAUCCCUAGAUUAAAGUCUCAAAUUUCCAAGCCCUAACUUCCUAAUUUAGGCUUCAAAUUCCCCAAAUUUCAUGUUUAAUUAGGUUAGAAAUCACAAUAGGAUCGAGUAUUAACUCCAAAAUUCUUACCUCCAAUAAGUUCUCUUUGAUUUCCUUUCAAUCCCUCUCAAAAAUCUCCAAAACCGAGUCAAAAUUGGUGGACAUAGGCCAAAACUCACGAAAAUGGUCUUUUAAACAUUCUGCCCAGCGAUCAGAAAUCCUUCUUCCCGAACGCGGUCAAAGCCUCGCGUUCACGAAGCACAAAAAUACCAUUUACCAAAAUUCUCUUACGCGAAUGCGACCACACCAUCGUGAACGAGAUGCCUCAGCAUCCCAAACCAUCGCGAAUGCGUCAGACAACUCGCGAACGCCAUGCUUCCUGUUCUGACCCUUCGUGAACGCGGGACCUCCCUCGCGAACGCAAAGGCCAAAUUUUCGGCCUCUCAUCCUAGCCCUUGGUGAACGCGAGGGCCCACUCGCGAACGCGAAGCACAAAUUUUCUACAACAGCUGAAGCCAAAACUACAACUUCCUUUAACUUGAAAUGGUCCGUUCAACCAUCCUAAACUCACCUGAGGCCCUCAGUGUCGCGCAGCCUUUUUCUCGCGAAAUUGGGUUUAUGACAUUUGGUUGGGACAACUCGUUCCUUUUGGGAACAGGGUUUUGCAUUUGAAGAGUCGCCACCUAAUGAUUUAAGGUGCAUUAGGACACCAAUAGGGUUCAAUUCUAAGUUUGAUUGAAUAACCAGAGAUAGGGUAAGGACUUGAAAUUAUCCUUAUAGGAAAGUGUUAUGCACCCCUCAGGAUCCACUGGUGUGAUUUCCGGCCAGACAGUUUAUUGUAAAUUUGUGUAAUUAACAAGUAAAUAGAUAAGGCUCACAUAAGAGAAGAGAUAAUUAAAAGAAGAGUUUUGAAAAGAAGUUUGCAAAUAAAAGGGAAGGGGUCCUAGGUUUAUAUUUAAUAUGGAUCACAUCAAUACGAUACCCGGUAUGACACUCCUCAAAAUAAGGGAUACACGUGGUAUUAGCGCACCGGUCAUCAUAUCCAUAUCUACCCUUCCCACCCCGUUAAGGUAUUUAAAGCGCGGAUUGGUCUCGAUCACUAUUGCAUGCUAUUACCUGUCCCAUUCCUAUCAGUCCCGGAGGAGCUUAGGACUACUAUUUCCUAAAGGGGAGGGAUAUUAGGCUGAUUUUGGUUUCAAAAGGUAAAAAUCUAAAGCGACAUGCAAAACACAUAAACUGCAUGUUGGGGGAAGCAUAUAAACAGAUAAAGUUCCAUGUACACCUCCUCAAAUGAAAACACAUAAAUAGUAUGAUUUGCACAUACUUUUAGGUCUGAUUAAAAUACUAAAGACGAGGGGAGUUUGAUCAUUGAGGCAGAUUAGUUUAUUACAUAAUUCAGAUAAGAAGUCCCAGUUAGGUCUGCCUGCUGGUUGUAGCAAUUAACAAAAACGGAUUCAAUUUUAUGGUUAUUACUCUAAGGUUUGCCUAAGUGUUAGAUGAGGUCCUAUAGACAUGAUAUCUAAUUGAUUCAGAAUGUGGUGAAACAGUAAUAACUCAAAACAAAUUGUUUGAAAUCCUAUAGGCAUGCUUGCUAAACCUCGUUAAACAAGGGAAUUAGGUUGUUUAAAACCAGUUCAGAAUAGGCUGAUUUAAACUAAAUCCAGAUUAUGUAGGCAAUGGUAUCUAAUGUUGCUGAUUUUAAUCCCUAUAGGCAUGAUAUCUAAUAUUGAAUGAUUUCAACAUCAUGAACAUGAUACUUACUUAUAGCCGUUUAGAACCUAAAGCAUGAUAUCUAAGUGGCAUGCAGAAUUUUAAAUAAGUCCUAUAGGCGGGUUAUCUAGAUGUGAAAUUGAUCAUGAAGAAAUUAAGAUAAACCCUAUAGACAUGGUGUCUAAAAUGCAGAAUUGAACACGCAGAAUAAAAAAUAGUCCUAUAGGCAUGCUUUCUCUCCUUGAGCAUACAUGAUUUCCCAACCCUUUUCACUAGCCAGCCCCAAGUAAUUAUUACAAAUUAUUACAGACCAGAAAUAAUUAAAUACAUCAGAAAAGUUCAAAGAAAAGUUACAACCAGAGGAAACCUGACUCUUGACUUCCUCUCUGAGUUAUGGAAUAAACCACCUCAAAUGCCAUUGAUUCAAAGUCUUUCUCAUACUUGAGUGUGUCAAAGUUCCCUAAGGGUCUCAAUAGGACCAUGGGCAAUACUUGUCACACCUCCUUUUUACCACACGAGGACGGAUAUAAGGGAGUUUUUCUAAUUUAAGUGACAUUAUUCGAUAUGCGAUUAUUUUAUUUAAUUUUUUCAGAGUUGCCACUUGGGAUAUUUAUUAUGGUGUCCCAAGUCACCGGUUUAUUUUAAAUCCCAAAUCGAGAAAAUUUUGACUUUAUUUAAAAGUCCGCGAAACCAGAAAUUCUAAACAAGGAAUUCUGUUAACCCUGGAGAAGGUGUUAGGCAUUCCCGGGGUUCGUGGUUCGAAUACGACCGCAUAAACUAUUAAUAAUUGGGGUAUUAUCUGAUUUCCUACAUGUUUUAAACCUAUUAUGCAUUUUUAGCUUUAUAACCACUUUUUAAUUAUUUUAACUGCUUUUAGGAUUUAUGGAAUUAUUUUUUGAACAAGUUAAGAUUGUCGUACACUUGCCGUUCUACAACACACCGCAAACCACGCUACAUGAAAUGCACCCGUGAUUUGUGACAUGUUUAUUUUAAUUAUUGUUCGAAGUUGUGGUCGGGUCACUUGAAAUGCACACCUGAAUUGAAAUUUAUGUAUCGUGACCAAGCCACGGGAACCGUACCCAUAGUCAUGAUGAUUUAUUAAUCGUGCCUAAAGCUAACUACGAUAUUUGAUUUAUUUUCUAAUCUAAUUUAAGAUUAUUUUAAGGCCAUAGGUUAUGGAAUUUAUUAUGGAAAGAAUAAAUUAAAUUAUUUAUGGAAAGAUAUCCUAGCUUAUAGCCUUAUCGGCAAUUUUGGUCAUGUAUUCAAACUAGAAACUUUAGUAGUACCUCAUUCACCAAUUAAACUCCAAACCCAUAUUUUGGGCAUUAACGAUUACUCCAAAAAAAGGUACUAACAAAGAAAGUGAAAGAAUGAGAAUUAAGCAAAUAACGCCCACAUCUUAACACAAAGGAAUUAUCAGUAGAUUCCAAAGCAUACCAACACCAUGCUUAUUGAUUUAUCUUUAUAAAUAAAAAAAACUAAAAGAAACACCCAACUAGAUUAAAGUAUUCAUCAAAGAAAGACAAAGUAAAGUAAUAAAUUAGUCAUGGAUCAACCUUAAGUAAAGAGGCUAAAAUAAAAUAAUAAUAAUAAAGCAUAAGAUAGAUUGGAUCCCGAAGAGUAGCGACAAGAAACAUACCUUUUUAAAAAGAAACAAAAGUCUGGAAAUAAGACCAGCAACACGUUAACCAUACUAAACGGGAACCUCACCGGAACUUUAGAUGGAUCUCUCACAUGGAAGUUCGUCUAUCUCGAUCUAUCUUCCAUGACAUUACAGGGCUGAAACGGAGCUUCGUCGGAGGAAAAAAAAUGGAGAAAUUGAUGACUGUUCGGGUCUUUUUUUUAAAGCUGGUUUUAAUGGAAUUUCAAAUUGGUUUAAGGUGAUAUAUGUGAAGUGAUAUGGGUUGAAGACUCUUUCGUUUCUUUUUAUUUUCCCACCCCCAAUUUUUGUGCAAAGAAUCCCUUGUAUGUUCUGUGCGUGUAUUUGGAGUUGGUGAAAUUAGACCGUGAAGGUCUUUGAUUUGGGGGAAGUUGGGAGACGGCAGUCUUCGAGAUUAGGAGUGUUGCCGUUCUUUUUUUAGUCUUAGGUUUUGAAAACUUGGGUAUUUUAUAUGUAGAUGGGAAGGGAUGAUGACCAUUGGAUUAGAAGGAAAUAGAUGGCUAGGAUUAAAUCUUGCAUAUAAAUGGGCUAAUGAGUUGGGAAGAAUGGGCUAAGGGUAAUUGGGUUAGACCCUAUCUUUUGGUUGAACUUAGGCUAAAAAGACCAAAUAAUACAAUGUAUCUAUAAAAAUGUAAAAAUCACUCUAAAUUAAAAUAAACUAAUAUGAAAC
rnacentral:lncRNA from 1 species